rnacentral:tRNA from 1 species
ACGUUAUGGUAGUAACGUGCCGGUUUCGUAAACCGCAGGUCGGUGGUUCGAUUCCACU